rnacentral:rRNA from 1 species
AGCAGCCGCGGUAAUUCCAGCUCCAAUAGCGUAUAUUAAAGUUGUUGCAGUUAAAAAGCUCGUAGUUGAAUUUCGGGGUUAGUAGGUUGGUCAUGCCUCUGGUAUGUACUGGUCUCACUGAUUCCUCCUUCCUGAUGAACCGUAAUGCCAUUAAUUUGGUGUUGCGGGGAAUUUGGACUGUUACUUUGAAAAAAUUAGAGUGUUUAAAGCAAGCUAACGCUUGAAUACAUUAGCAUGGAAUAAUGAAAUAGGACGUUCGAUCCUAUUUUGUUGGUUUCUAGGAUUGACGUAAUGAUUAAUAGGGAUAGUUGGGGGCAUUAGUAUUCAAUUGUCAGAGGUGAAAUUCUUGGAUUUAUUGAAGACUAACUACUGCGAAAGCAUUUGCCAAGGAUGUUUUCAUUAAUCAAGAACGAAAGUUAGGGGAUCGAAGGUGAUCAGAUACCGUCGUAGUCUUAACCAUAAACUAUGCCGACUAGGGAUCGGAUGAUGUUAAUUUUUUAAUGACUCAUUCGGCGCCUUA